UCAUAUAAAUAUAAUAAUAAAUAAACCUUUAAAAAAAGAAGUGAUUCAUCAUGGCUAGGAAGGCUCAGAGGAACUGUACAUUGUCCAUACACUGGUCACAUUGUGUCCAAAGUCCUGAAGCAGAAACAGAGCAAACACUUGGAACAGGGAUAUAAGAACCUUAAGGUUUUACCCUGCCAAUUGACUCCCUCCUAAAAGUGCCCCAGCCUCUCCAAGCAGGUCCUCCAUCUGGGGACCAAGUAUUGAAACCCAUGGGCCCAAAGCAGACAUUUCCCAGAUGCCCCACGACAAUGCUCAUUCUGUAUUUUCAUUACACUCUCCCACCAGUCAAUCCAGAUUUUGCUGUAGGUAGGCAGUUUGGUUAAAGCAACAUUUACCUACAGGUGAGAUGGGUACAGAGUCCAUGUCAGCUUUUGGUCACUGGGACAGAGUACUGGAGAGAUACAAUCUGAGGGGGAUUUGGGGCUUCUGGGUUCAGAGGACUCAGCUGGCUGCCCUCAUCACAGCUUAGGCCUGGGGUGAGGCAGAGCAUCAUCACAGUUGGAUGAGGAGGGAGCUUGCUUUGUGGUGGCCAAAAGGGAGAUAAAUAGAUAAGAGAAACAGGGACACGCAGAAAAUGAGGACAAAUUAUGCUCUUAAGGCCACACCCUCAAGGAUAUACCUCUUUCAACUCCUCCAGUCCUGUCACCGCCCAGCAGACUGCCCCAAAUUAUGAACCCGUCAGUGGGUGAGUCUAUUGAUGAUGUCAGAGUCCUCGGGGUCCUGUCAGUUCCCCACGCACUUCUAAACACUGCCACACUGGGGACUACACCUUCAAUGUGCAAGCCUUUAACACGUGACGGACACUUCAGAUCUAAACGGCAGCAGGACAUCUUGGAGAUGAUUCUUUGCGACCUAGGUUAUGAUGAGAUGCCUGUGUAAUCAUCUUUUUGACGAUUUAUGACGAGACACCCAAGGCCCAGAAAUACAGGCUUCCCUUUUUGUUCUAGCUUCAGUUCUUGCUCUCUCUGGGUGGCCAGUCAGCAUCUUGCUCCUCUCAGUCUACUAGGCUGCCAGCUCAUCCCCUGAGCCCUGGCCAGUUUGAGGGUUUCUUUGUCGUGCCAUCCUAUGAUUCCAUUCCCCCCUAAUUUGGGGGCACAGUAGUGCUGGGAAUCAAACAAGGGUCUUGGGUAUCACUAAUUCAGUUUCUAAUCUGACCUGAGGUGCUUUUCAGGAAGUUCCUCCUCCUCUUCCCCCUGUUCAUGCUCCUCCCACGCCCCAAUCUGUGUACAGCUAGGCACAGAGGGCUGGCUCUACUGCAGUUUAAAUACCAAGGCUCCACCCGACUCUGGGCGGAUGUGCUCAACCUCACUGUAGCUUUCUCUCCAUCACCAGAUCCUCUGGCUUAGCCAGUGUUGAGGAGAAGCAAGGCAAGCCACUCUGGGUCGUGGCCCUUGCUACAUCUCAGUCCAGGCGAGGCAUCCAGCUCGAGAAGCUAGUUGCUAGGAAGUCACGCUGGACCAGUCUCUUUCAGAUCUGCUCUGCAGCCCAGUUAGCAGAAGGACAAGUGACACUUGACUUCGCAGGUGGCGGAAGGAGAAGGUCCUGGAGGCAGCUGCGGGGAAACGCUGGUCAGAUCGGGCAGUGUGGUGCUGCAUUCCUUCCUUAGCAGAUACUUUAUGGAAGCAAGGCUCAUCUCUCCGGACUGCCUUGCGGGAUCGUCCUCUGGGGAGACACAGCUCUGGCCUUGGAAUCUGUCAGAGCUGGCUCUGAGUGUUGGCACUGCUGGUGUCUGGCUAUGGAGGCUGACAGAGUCACUUUGCCUGCUGACCCUCAGUUUUCUGUAUCGUCCAAUGGGGAGAAGAACAGCAGCCUGGUGGGAGGAGUCACUGCCUGCUCGGUUUUCUGUAUUAUCCAAUGGGGAGAAGAACAGUAGCCUGGUGGGUGGAGUCAAGGCAGAGAGUGCUGUGGAGAAGUCACAGAACACCUCGUGCUGAGGCACUUACCCUAGAGGGAUGAUGAAAGAUGCUAAGGAAACAUGCGGGUGAUGUGCAGAGUCGCGUCUAGAGCUACACGGAGCAAAGCAUGCAAGAAAGUCUGCACUACGCAAACGACACACAGAGCCCGCACUAUGAAAAUGAACUCCAAAGCCCUAGCAGGACCACAAGCAUCCCUCCUCCCUUAUUUUUGCUUCCUGAUCCACAAGGAUGCGAGCAAGUUGCUGUUGCAAGCCCCUGCCUGCUGCCUGCCCUUCCUCUCCACCAAGCGGGGGCUGUAUCUCCUGUAUCACUCUGUACCCCCGUUUUGAGGACAUGGACACUUUCAGAAUCCUGUCUUCCGGCCUGAUGGUCAGUAGGGGACUAGCUCCUGAAACGUUAUAUGACUACUUCGUCGACACAGCACUUCUGAAACGUUCGAUGAUUACUUCGCUGACACUGCACCCCAUUGUGGACCUAAGGAGGUGGCUGGAACAUGUCUGACAUCUGCUUUCUGCUACUGGCAUCUCUGUAGCGGGAGGGGGUGAAAUGGAACACACCAUCAGAUCUGGGCUGCUAUGCAUUCCUCUUGUUCGUGCUGAGCCAUGUCCCAUGUUGAGCAGGCUACAACCAUCUUAUAUGAGCUUGCGUUCCUCUCUGAGCCUGACUUCUCUCAUCUACAAAACAAACUUUAUCUGGGGCUGGAGAGAUGGCUCAGUGGUUAAGAGCACCGACUGCUCUUCCAGAGUUCCUGGGUACAAAUCCCAGCAACCACAUGGUGGCUCACAACCAUCUGUAAUGGGAUCUGAUGCCCUCUUCUGGUGUCUCUGAAGACAGCUACAGUGUAUUUAUAAUAAAUCAAAACUCUUAAAAAAAAAAAAAAACAAACUUUAUCUAUUAAAAACAAUAACACUAAUCAACCCUCCACCCCCAAAAUCCUUACCAUGAACCCAUAACCUAAACAAACCUUUACCGUGUACCAGAACCUGUUCCUUUGCACUGCAUGGCCGUUCCCAACUAAGCCAGCGCUCUACUCCAUCUCACCGACUCCCUUGGAAAGACUUUAAUGGAUUCCCUUGCUUUGUUUGUCGCUAUCCACACAUAUCUCUGUCCAGUUCUCUGUUCCAGGGUACAAGGGUCCAGCUGUGUAUCCGUGACAUCAGAUUGCUUUGAGGAACAAGAGGGAGGCCUCAUGUGCAGGAGCUGGCUCCUGACAGGAGGCUCAGCUGACCGGCUUCCACUUUUGGAAGGCGGUGGGCGCAUUAUCAUUUCUGCGUAUUGAGUGCCUGGUGCAGAUAAGGUAUUUACUCAUUUGAAUAAAUGAAAUUUUUAUGAAAAGGAAA